rnacentral:ncRNA from 1 species
AAGCAAAGACAAAAUCCAAGGAUUUUGAACGUUGGCUUUGCCAAUGGUACGAAGUGCAAGCGCAGCGCAGUAAAAGUAGGUCGAUGCCGAAACAAACCUAUUUAU